rnacentral:rRNA from 1 species
UACAGAGGUCUCAAGCGUUGUUUCGGAUUCAUUGGGCGUAAAAGGGUGCGUAGGCGGCGCGGUAAGUCGGGUGUGAAAUCUUGGAGCUUAACUCCGAAACUGCAUUCGAUACUGCCGUGCUUGAGGACUGGAGAGGAGACUGGAAUUUACGGUGUAGCGGUGAAAUGCGUAGAUAUCGUAAGGAAGACCAGUGGCGAAGGCGGGUCUCUGGACAGUUCCUGACGCUGAGGCACGAAGGCCAGGGGAGCAAACGGG